UGUGCUGCAAUAGGCAAAUCUAGUACAAACGCGGAGAAUUUGUCCGAGAAUGUCAAUGGGGAGAACGGCUGGUAUAUGCCUAACGAAGAUGGCACCCUUCAGUGGAUAGACGAGAAAAAAGCGGAGGCAAUGCUUCAACCCCUUACGGAACAGAAAAACCUAGCGGCAAUUGCAAAGCUCGUGAAAUACUAUUUAUUAUCCAAGUACCAAAAAACCCGAAGAAACUCAGUCCAUAGAACCUAUUGAAAACUCCACGUGGGCAAUCAGCUGACAAAUAUAUACGCUUAUAUUUCAAGUUAGUUCUGGAUGAUAACAUUUAAGGGCGGUGUCAGCACUUGAGGAGGGUACUUACUGCAGGUUAACAGUAACGCCCAGACUGCAAAUACCAGACUGCAAGAAAGAGCUCCCGAGCCUAAUAGAUCUGUAUUCAUAGCUGAGACACACUUAAAUAUGAACAGAUUUCAUACAUUUAUGCUAAUCAUCAUAUAGUAUUGAGUGUGUUUACUUUAGGAUCCCAGUGUAUCCCAGCAGAGGCAGGUGGAAUUAUUUUCCGGUAGAAAAGUCAAUCGAAAGGUUGAAGACAUUAAGCAUUUUGGACAAUGCCUAUCAGGUCACCCUUUGUAUUGUGAUAACGUCUUCGGUUUGUACUAUAACAGACCAUUGCUUGCCGAAACUCCUUAUCAGUCGAAAAAGUGGAUUUUCGGAUAACUUUGAAUUUUACAUGUAAUUUCUUAAUCUUCUUCACAACUAAUUUUGAUUUCCACACAGCUGCGGUCUGCUUUGACUCUGAACGUAAGAAUGGAUAGAAUGGCUGGUACAUACCUAGACCCGAUGACAGCUUUUUUUAGUUGGAUAGAAUUAUUACAGAGCAUUUGCUUGAAAAUUUAGAAAAGUUAAAGAGCCUUACACUGCAAAAAGCUCCGGUCGACUUCUACCUGUUCACAAAGUUAAACCCCACCAAGGGCACCAAGAUCACAGCCACCAGCAAGUCUAUUAAAAAAUCCAAUUUCGAUACCUAAAACCCUACAAGAUUUAUUAUCCACUGCUGGCUCCAGAGCAGAUCAUCGGACAUGAACAAAAACAUUCGUGAUGCCUGGCUGAGCAAUUGUGACUACAACGUCAUCGUCGUAGACUGGGCUAGUGCACGAUCCCCGGUUAUGCUACCCCUGUUGUGGCUGUACAUAUCGUAGGCAAGAAGGCCAACAUGAUCAACUACAGCACCGUUCGCAUGAGCGCUGAUAGCAAUGCCGACAAGGUCGAGGGUGUCUUCUAUGUGCCGGUGAACAGCGAAUCUCCCCACGGCAAUGCCAACUAUGUAGUAAUGUGACGCAAUCAAUCAAAUAAUUAGACUAGGUAAUCUAGUUGGGUUUACGACGCUAAUCAUAUAACUGAACGAUACACCUUGAGGCUAUAAUCCAUACUAUAGUGUGGUAUAUACAUACAUAUAUACUUAUACGGUAACCGGUACUGCUAUCAACAUAGUAAUUCAAGCAAUUCCAUUAGAAGCAAACAAUAUAUGGACUUGUCGUUUCCCACGCAGUGCAUAAAUCAUACGACAUUGAUGUAGGCCUCCACCGAUAAAGAUUUAUGAUCAGUGAUAAUUAUUAAUUAUACUUGUGGUUCACUAAAUGACUUCUAAUUGUAUGCCCAUUGCUCCUCAUUUUUCGAGGUGACCAUAUGUGCCUCCUAAAAGUAUGCAACAUGUGUGUGUAUGUUAUUCUAAUAUUGGAUUUUGUGUACUAUUUUUGCAUGUCAUUUAAUUCAUCUACUCUGCCAAUUAGCACGAACAGGAUAAUCAGCCAUGGAAAAAUCAUUAGCAAUAAUACGAGUACAACUCAGAGAGGUAAACACAAAAAGUGAGCAGUAAAGAAGGGGGCAGUGGGUGGCUGGGGCGGAAGUCUCUAAACAAAUUGAGUCACAGUUAAUAGGCUUUUGUUGGGUCAACCGUUCAUUGUUUACAUUACUCGUUUACACUCAGCAAAUUUGCUUCAAGCCACAGACAUAGACCAUAGCUGGCCGAAACUUCUUAUCAGUCGAAAUACCUCACAAUAUAAAACCCUUUUAGCUCUUAGCUUUCUGUUCCACGUACAUGGAAUUCCGCCAACUCUUUAACAAAUGCUAUUAAUUCAUACACAGCUUCGGCUGGCAGCUUAUGUUGGAUAGAUAAACAUGCGGCAGAACGUUGGCUUCGACGAAUUGAAAACGUACUGUUCAAUGACCAAAGUUCCUAUCGAAUUCUACCUGUUCACCAAGUCCAACCCCACCAAGGGUACCAAGAUCACAGCUACGAGCAAUUCAAUCGCCUCAUCCAACUUCAGUGCCUAUGAUCCAACGAGGAUUUAUUAUUCACGGCUAGACCCAGAGUAGCUCAUCGGACUUGCAGAAGAACGAUCGGGACGCCUGGCUGAGCAAUGGUGACUACAACGGCAUCGUUGUGGACUGGGCUAAUGCAUGUUCCAUGGACUAUAUUUCCUCCGUUGUGGCUAUACCCGGCGUAAGCCAGAAGGUCGCCAACAUGGUCAACUACCUUGACUUCCAUCAUGACUUGAGUCUCGACUACCCCAAGAAAAACUUUGGAACCAUGAAGUGCGAUAGCUAUAUGGCAGCCGUCAAUAAGAAGUGUGGCAACACCUACAGCACUAUUCGAAUGGGUGAUGAAGGCAAUGCCGACAGGGUCAAGGGUGCCUUUUAUGUGCCGGUGAACAGCAAUGCUCCCCACGGCAAUAUCAACUAAAUAAGAAUAAUAAUGUGACGCAAUCAAAAAAGUUACCGAAAACAAUCGAAUUCCGCUUUGCUUAAGGAAGCAUUUUUUGUGUAAGUAACUAAUCUUUGGGUUCACGACGCUAAUCAUAUAACUCGAAAAUACACAUUGAGUUUCUAAUCCAUACUAAGCCGUACACUAUAUGGCAAGCGAUACGUCUAUCAAUUUAGUAAUUGCUCAUGGAUCUAGCACUUCCCUUGCAAAUUUAAUCGAGUUUCAAGUGCUUUUAAGCCAAUAUAGAAGGAUGGUGUAGUA
rnacentral:misc_RNA from 1 species